rnacentral:rRNA from 1 species
AGAGUUUGAUCAUGGCUCAGGACGAACGCUGGCGGCGUGCUUAACACAUGCAAGUCGAACGAUGAAGUGGAGCUUGCUCCCCGGAUUAGUGGCGAACGGGUGAGGAACACGUGAGAAACCUGCCUCGGAUUUUGGGAUAACAAAUGGAAACGUUUGCUAAUACCAAAUAACGUCGGAGAGUCACAUGGCUUUCUGACGAAAGGAAUUCCGAUUCGAGAGGGUCUCGCGGCCUAUCAGCUAGUUGGCGGGGUAAUGGCCCACCAAGGCAACGACGGGUAGCUGGUCUGAGAGGAUGGUCAGCCACACUGGGACUGAGACACGGCCCAGACUCCUACGGGAGGCAGCAGUGGGGAAUCUUGCGCAAUGGGCGAAAGCCUGACGCAGCAACGCCGCGUGCGGGAAGAAGGCUUUCGGGCUGUAAACCGCUUUCAGCAGGAACGAAAAUGACGGUACCUGCAGAAGAAGGAGCGGCCAACUAUGUGCCAGCAGCCGCGGUGAUACAUAGGCUUCAAGCGUUGUCCGGAUUUAUUGGGCGUAAAGAGUUCGUAGGCGGUCGAGUAAGUCGGGUGUGAAAAUUCUGGGCUCAACCCAGAAACGCCACCCGAUACUGCUUAACUUGAGUUCGAUAGGGGAGUGGGGAAUUCCUAGUGUAGCGGUGAAAUGCGCAGAUAUUAGGAGGAACACCGGUGGCGAAGGCGCCACUCUGGAUCGAUACUGACGCUGAGGAACGAAAGCAUGGGUAGCAAACAGGAUUAGAUACCCUGGUAGUCCAUGCCGUAAACGGUGGGCACUAGGUGUGGGAUUCUAUUAACGAAUUCCGCGCCGUCGCUAACGCAUUAAGUG